AGUCCUAUAGUGUAGUGGCCAAUCAUAGCUGCCUUUGGAGCAGUUGACCCUGGUUCGAAUCCGGGUAGGACUA
rnacentral:tRNA from 1 species